rnacentral:rRNA from 1 species
GAUGAGCGCUGGCGGCGUGCCUAAUACAUGCAAGUCGAGCGAACAGACGAGGAGCUUGCUCCUCUGACGUUAGCGGCGGACGGGUGAGUAACACGUGGAUAACCUACCUAUAAGACUGGGAUAACUUCGGGAAACCGGAGCUAAUACCGGAUAAUAUAUUGAACCGCAUGGUUCAAUAGUGAAAGACGGUUUUGCUGUCACUUAUAGAUGGAUCCGCGCCGCAUUAGCUAGUUGGUAAGGUAACGGCUUACCAAGGCAACGAUGCGUAGCCGACCUGAGAGGGUGAUCGGCCACACUGGAACUGAGACACGGUCCAGACUCCUACGGGAGGCAGCAGUAGGGAAUCUUCCGCAAUGGGCGAAAGCUUGACGGAGCGACGCCGCGUGAGUGAUGAAGGUCUUCGGAUCGUAAAACUCUGUUAUUAGGGAAGAACAAAUGUGUAAGUAACUAUGCACGCCUUGACGGUACCUAAUCAGAAAGCCACGGCUAACUACGUG